rnacentral:rRNA from 1 species
GACGAACGCUGGCGGCGUGCCUAAUACAUGCAAGUAGAACGCUGAAGGAGGAGCUUGCUUCUCUGGAUGAGUUGCGAACGGGUGAGUAACGCGUAGGUAACCUGCCUGGUAGCGGGGGAUAACUAUUGGAAACGAUAGCUAAUACCGCAUAAGAGUAGAUGUUGCAUGACAUUUGCUUAAAAGGUGCAAUUGCAUCACUACCAGAUGGACCUGCGUUGUAUUAGCUAGUUGGUGGGGUAACGGCUUACCAAGGCGACGAUCCAUAGCCGACCUGAGAGGGUGAUCGGCCACACUGGGACUGAGACACGGCCCAGACUCCUACGGGAGGCAGCAGUAGGGAAUCUUCGGCAAUGGACGGAAGUCUGACCGAGCAACGCCGCGUGAGUGAAGAAGGUUUUCGGAUCGUAAAGCUCUGUUGUAAGAGAAGAACGAGUGUGAGAGUGGAAAGUUCACACUGUGACGGUAUCUUACCAGAAAGGGACGGCUAACUACGUG